UUUUUUUCGUUUUACUGAGGAAGGGUACAGUUUCCCUGCUCAAAUUUUAUAUAGGUGUUCCGUGGUUUGCCUGUGGUGUUCCCGCGGGAAACACCGGCACAUCCACUGAUCUCUAAUAUAGGGGCAAAACAUAGUAGAGAUCAGUACGCACAUCACUUAUCACUUCCCCAGGUUUCACUGUAGUGGAGCUGCAUUAGCGCUGCAGGAUUUGAGCAGAAUUGAAGCUACAUUAAGCGCUGGAUUUGAGCUGGAUUGCAACUGCAUUUGAUUUGGGGCGCAGAAUAAUCUUGAAGUCGUUCCGAAGUAGCGGCGGUAGCCGGCGAUGCGGCCGGCGCAUCUCUCGGGACGAGUUCUUGGCGUUCGCUGCGGACGCGUAGCGCGUCGCUGCCGUUGACGCGGGAGGAGAAACAGGGCAUUAUAAGCAGUUGGCGCGUUCCGAAACUUUCUUUGUGCCAUGGACGCCGAGCUGCAAGCGCGCAUCGAGCGAAAACGCGCGCUCGCCCGCGAAAGACAGCGCCGACGCCAAGCAAAUCCAGAAGUGAAGGCCCAGCGCGCAGCAGCCGCUCGCCAGCGCAGGCAGGCGAAUCCAGAAGUCAGGGCCCGGGAAGUGGCAGCCGCUCGCCAGCGCAGGCAGGCGAAUCCACAAGUCAGGGCCCGGGAAGCAGCAGCCGCUCGCCAGCGCAGGCUAGUCAAUCCUCAGAGCAAGGCCCGGGAAGCAGCAGCCGCUCGCCGGCGCCGGCAGGCGAAUCCAGAAGUUAGGGCCCGGGAAGCAGCAGCCGCUCGCCAGCGCAGGCAGGCGAAUCCUCAAGUCAAAGCCCGGCAAGCAGCAGCCGCUCGCCUACGCAGACUAAUCAAUCCUCAGAUUAAUGCCCAGCGCGCAGCAGCUGUACGCCAGCAAAGACAGGCGAAUCCAAGUCUCGUCAAAGCACAGACUGCUGCCGCUCGCCAGCGCAGGCAAGUUAACCCUCAGAUCAAGGUUCGGAAUGCUCAAGCGAAACGUCAGCGAAGACAGACAAACCCGGAACUUCGCCGGCGAGAAGCAGCGGCGAAACGUCAGAAACGACAAGCCAACGCGGAGCUCCGCGCAGCAGAAGCUCGCCUCGAGGAACGCCGCUUGCACGAGGCAACACAGUGCAAGUCCUGUGUUGAUCAAGUGCGUACAUUGGGCAGUCAGACAGAGACUGCACAUGUGAUGGUGGAAACAAGCGCCCAAACCGCAAUGGUCUUUCCACGUACCAUCCCUGUGCAGACAAGACCAACGAAAUUACGGAGCCGAGGCACAAACACGGGCCCUGUAUGAUGAGCUGAAAGAGAAAUAAUCAUCCACUCGAUGCUGAAGAGACAACACUACGAAGAGGCUCUACCAGAGGGAAGAAAGCCACCAUUAUGCAAGCACCUGCUCUGGUGCACUAAGGAACACCUUUCCUCACGUCAACUAUGUGGAACCGGCUGUUUUCGGGUGUUGCCAAAUGCUGCCACCGUGAAGAUAGCGCACAAAGAGUGCAUGUGAUAAAGCUUCAACGGCACAUUAUUGUCAACAGUGUUCGAGGAGUACUGUGUAACGACAUUUUCAACUUGUCACUUUAUUGUUUGCUAAGUUAAAGUGCAAACCUUCUAAAUCCUUGAAAAAUAUUAUCCUCAAGUGUGAUAACGUUAUAAAUAAUAUUUUAUUAUGCGUUCUCCUAGUACCAGGAGGCACACGUACCAUGACAUCAUCACACACUAGGUCGCUCCGGUUCUGUGCGCACUGCAGCUACAGUCAAAGACAAGACGCUAACGCCAAGUGGUGGGUUUUCGACGGCAAGCGGUGCCGGCCGUGGCAUUUCCUCAAGGGCCGAUGCCCAAGCCCCGAUGACAGUGACGUCUUCGGCAGCCUCGACGAAUACGAGUGCCGCUGCUCAUCGCCAAUGGAUCUGGGCGAUGACGCCUGCGGGCGCUGGGACACAUGUAGGGGAUCCGGAGACUCCAACGUACUGCGGUUCCCGUAUUUCGCCGAUGUGUCGCCCGGCGGUGACGGUCAAGUGCGCUACAUCAGGGCUUCGGCGGCGACGCUGCUCACGCAGCAGUGCCUCAUUGGCUCCAACCGGUUCUUCUCGGAGGAAGCCUGCAAGAGAGCCUACGUGGACGGACGCCACGCUCAGGCACGGCAAGAACGUAUAUCUAGCCAAAUGAAGUCGCUUCUGCG